GCUGGACGUGGUGGCACAUGCCUGUAAUCCCAGUGCCUCUGGAGGCUGAGGCAGGAGGAUUGCAAGUUCAAAGCCAGCCUCAGAAAGCGAGACGCUAAGCAACCCAGUGAGACCCUGUCUCUA
rnacentral:sRNA from 1 species